UGGCCAGCCGCACCCCCCAAGGCUAUAGCCCACCCGUUUUUGUGGCCUUUUUCCGCUGGACGAACUUGGCGCCCCGGCCUUCGGGCGGUUAUUUUUGGAUGCGGCUCUGCCCGCGGCCUAUUUUUGGCAAACGGAGGACCCUCGCAAAGUCUCGCGCCAUUCCGAGUCCGGCGGACGAAGUCGGCCAGCCCCACCCCCCAAGGCUAUAGCCCACCCGUUUUUGUGUCCUUUUUCCGCUGGACAAGCUUAGCGCCCCGGCCUUCGGGCAGUUAUUUUUGGGCGCGGCUUUGCCCGUGGCCUAGUUUUGGCUCACGGAGGCCCCUCGCAAAGUCUCGCGGUAUUCCGAGUCCGGCGGACGAAGUUGGCCAGCCCCACCCCCCAAGGCUAUAACCCACCCGUUUUUGUGGCCUUUUUCCGCUGGACGAACUUGGCACCCCGGCCUUCGCGCAGUUAUUUUUGGGCGCGGCCUUGCCCACGGCCUAUUUUUGGCACACGGAGGCUCCUCGUAAAGUCUCGCGUCAUUCCGAGUCCGGCGGACGAAGUCGGCCAGCCCCACCCCCCAAGGCUAUAGCCCACCCGUUUUUGUGGCCUUUUUCCGCUGGACGAACUUGGCUCCCCGGCCUUCGGGCGGUUAUUUUUGGGCGCGGCUUUGCCCGCGGCCUAUUUUUGGCAAACGGAGGCCCCUCGCAAAGUCUCGCGCCAUUCCAAUUCCGGCGGACGAAGUAGGCCAGCCCCAUCCCCCAAGGCUAUAACCCACCCGUUUUUGUGGCCUUUUUCCGCUGGACGAACUUGGCGCCCCGGCCUUCGGGCGGUUAUUUUUUGGCGCGGCUUUGUCCACGGCCUCUUUUUGGCACACGGAGGCCCCUCGCAAAGUCUCGCGCCAUUCCGAGGCCGGCGGCCGAAGUUGGCCAGCCCCACCCCUCAAGGCUAUAGCCCACCCGUUUUUGUGGCCUUUUUCCGCUGGACGAACUUGGCGCCCCGGCCUUCGGGCGGUUAUUUUUGGGCGCGGCUUUGGCUGCGGCCUAUUUUUGGCACACGGAGGCCCCUCGCAAAGUCUCGCGGCAUUCCGUGUCCGGCGGACGAAGUUGGCCAGCCCCACCCCCCAAGGCUAUAGCCCACCCGUUUUUGUGGCAUCUUUCCGCCGGACGAACUUGGCGCCCCGGCCUUCGGGCGGUUAUUUUUGGGCGUGGCUUUGCCUGCGGCCUAUUUUUGGCACACGGAGGCCCCUCGCAAAGUCUCGCGGCAUUCCGAGUCCGGCGGACGAAGUUGGCCAGCCCCACCCCCCAAGGCUAUAGCCCACCCGUUUUUGUGGCCUUUUUCCAAAGGACGAACUUGGCGCCCCGGCCUUCGGUCGCCUAUUUUUGGCUGUGGCUGUACCCGCGGCUUAUUUUUGGCACACGGAGGCCCCUCGUAAAGUCUCGCGCCAUUCCGAGUCCGGCGGACGAAGUUGGCCAGCCCCACCCCCCAAGGCUAUAGCCCACCCGUUUUUUUGGCCUUUUUCCAAUGGACGAACUUGGCGCCCCGGCCUUCGGUCACUUAUUUUUGGGUGAAACUGUGCCCGCGGCCUAUUUUUGGCACACGGAGGCCCCUCGCAAAGUCUCGCGCCAUUGCGAGUCCGGCGGACGAACUUGGCCAGCCCAACCCCCCAAGGCUUUAGCCCACCCGUUUUUUUGGCCUUUUUCCGCUGGACGAACUUUGCGCCCCGGCCUUCGGUCACUUAUUUUUGGGUGAAGCUGUGCCCGCGGCCUAUUUUUGGCACACGGAGGCCCCUCGCAAAGUCUCACGGCAUUCCGAGUCCGGCGGACAAACUUGGUGCCCCGGCCUUCGGGCGGUUAUUUUUGGGCGCGGCUUUGGCCGCGGCCUAUUUUUGGCACACGGAGGCCCCUCGCAAAGUCUCGCGGCAUUCCGAGUCCGGCGGACGAAGUUGGCCAGCCCCACCCCCCAAGGCUAUAGCCCACCCGUUUUUGUGGCCUUUUUCCAAUGGACGAACUUGGCGCCCCGGCCUUCGGUCACUUAUUUUUGGGUGAAGCUGUGCCCGCGGCCUAUUUUUGGCACACGGAGGCCCCUCGCAAAGUCUCGCGGCAUUCCGAGUCCGGCGGACAAACUUGGUGCCCCGGCCUUCGGGCGGUUAUUUUUGGGCGCGGCUUUGGCCGCGGCCUAUUUUUGGCACACGGAGGCCCCUCGCAAAGUCUCGCGGCAUUCCGAGUCCGGCGGACGAAGUUGGUCGGCCCCACCCCCCAAGGCUAUAGCCCACCCGUUUUUGUGGCCUUUUUCCGCUGGACGAACUUGGCGCCCCGGCCUUCGGGCGGUUAUUUUUGGGCGUGGUUUUGCCCGCAGCCUAUUUUUGGCACACGGAGGCCCCUCGCAAAGUAUCGCGGCAUUCCGAGUCCGACGGACGAAGUUGGCCAGCCCCACCCCUCAAGGCUAUAGCCCACCCGUUUUUGUGGCCUUUUCCGCCGGACGAACUUGGCGCCCCGGCCUUUGGGCGGUUAUUUUUGGGCGUGGCUUUGCCUGCGGCCUAUUUUUGGCACACGGAGGCCCCUCGCAAAGUCUCGCGGCAUUCCGAGUCCGGCGGACGAAGUUGGCCAGCCCCACCCCCCAAGGCCCACCCGUUUUUGUGGCCUUUUACCGCUGGACGAACUUGGCGCCCCGGCCUUCAGGUGGUUAUUUUUGGGCGCGGCUUUGCCCAUGGCCUAUUUUUGGCACACGAAGGCCCCUCGCAAAGUCUCGCGGCAUUCCGAGAACGGCGGACGAAGAUGGCCAGCCGAACCCCCCAAGGCUAUAGCCCACCCGUUUUUGUGGCCUUUUUCCGCUGAACGAACGUGGCGCCCCGGCCGUCGGGCGGUUAUUUUUGGAUACAGCUUUGCCCGCGGCCUCUUUUUGGCACACGGAGGCCCCUCGCAAAGUCUCGCGGCAUUCCGAGUCCGGCGGAAGAAGUUGGCCAGCCCCACCCCCCAAGGCUAUAGCCCACCAGUUUUUGUGGCCUUUUUCUGCUGGACGAACUUGGCGCCCCGUCCUUCGGCCGGUUAUUUCUUGGCGCGGCUUUGCCCGCGGCCUAUUUUUGGCACACGGAGGCCCCUCGCAAAGUCUCGCGGCAUUGCGAGCCCGGCGGACGAAGUUGGCCAGCCCCACCCCCCAAGGCUAUAGCCCACCCGUUUUUGUGGCCUUUUUCCGCUGGACGAACUUGGCUCCCCGGCCUUCAGGCGGUUAUUUUUGGGCGCGGCUUUGCCCGCGGCCUAUUUUUGGCACACGGAGGGCCCUCGCAAAAUCUCGCGGAAUUCCGAGUCCGGCGGACGAAGUGGGCCAGCCCCACCCCCCAACGCUAUAGCCCACCCGUUUUUGAGUCCUUUUUCCGCUGGACGAACUUGGCGCCCCGGCCUUCGGGCGGUUAUUUUUGGGCGCGGCAUUGUCUGCGGCCUAUAUUUGGCACACGGAGGCCCCUCGCAAAGUCUCGCGGCAUUCCGAGUCCGGCGGACGAAGUGGGCCAGCCCCACCCCCCAAGGCGAUAGCCCACCCCUUUUUGUGGACUUUUUCCGCUGGACGAACUUGGCGCCCCGGCCUUCGGACGGUUAUUUCUGGGCACGGCUUUGCCCACGGCCUAUUUUUGGCACACGGAGGCCCCUCGCAAAGUCUCGCGGCAUUCCGAGUCCGGCGGACGAUGUUGGCCAGCCCCACCCCCCAAGGUCCACCCGUUUUUGUGGCCUUUUACCGCUGGACGAACUUGGCGACCCGUCCUUCGGCCGGUUAUUUCUUGGCGCGGCUUUGCCCGCGGCCUAUUUUUGGCACACGGAGGCCCCUCGCAAAGUCUCGCGGCAUUCCGAGCCCGGCGGACGAAGUUGGCCAGCCCCACCCCCCAAGGCUAUAGCCCACCCGUUUUUGUGGCCUUUUUCCGCCGGACGAACUUGGCUCCCCGGCCUUCAGGCGGUUAUUUUUGGGCGCGGCUUUGCCCGCGGCCUAUUUUUGGCACACGGAGGGCCCUCGCAAAAUCUCGCGGAAUUCCGAGUCCGGCGGACGAAGUGGGCCAGCCCCAUCCCCCAAGGCUAUAGCCCACCCGUUUUUGUGGCCUUUUUCCGCCGGACGAACUUGGCUCCCCGGCCUUCAGGCGGUUAUUUUUGGGCGCGGCUUUGCCCGCGGCCUAUUUUUGGCACACGGAGGGCCCUCGCAAAAUCUCGCGGAAUUCCGAGUCCGGCGGACGAAGUGGGCCAGCCCCAUCCCCCAAGGCUAUAGCCCACCCGUUUUUGUGGCCUUUUACCGCUGGACGAACUUGGCGCCCCGGCCUUCAGGCGGUUAUUUUUGGGCGCGGCUUUGGCCAUGGCCUAUUUUUGGCACACGAAGGCCCCUCGCAAAGUCUCGCGGCAUUCCGAGUCCGGCGGACGAAGUUGGCCAGCCCCACCCCCCAAGGCUAUAGCCCACCAGUUUUUGUGGCGUUUUUCUGCUGGACGAACUUGGCGCCCCGUCCUUCGGCCGGUUAUUUCUUGGCGCGGCUUUGCCCGCGGCAUAUUUUUGGCACACGGAGGCACCUCGCAAAGUCUCGUGGCAUUCCGAGCCCGGCGGACGAAGUUGGCCAGCCCCACCCCCCAAGGCUAUAGCCCACCCGUUUUUGUGGCCUUUUUCCGCUGGACGAACUUGGCUCCCCGGCCUUCGGCCGGUUAUUUCUUGGCGCGGCUUUGUCCGCGGUGUAUUUUUGGCACACGGAGGCCCCUCGCAAAGUUUUGCGGCAUUCCGAGUCCGGUGGACGAAGUGGGCCAGCCCCACCCCCCAAGGCUAUAGCCCACCCGUUUUUGUGGCCUUUUUCCGCUGGACGAACUUGGCGCCCCGGCCUUCGGGCGGUUAUUUCUGGGCGCGGCUUUGUCAACGGCCGAUUAUUGGCACACGGAGGCCCCUCGCAAAGUCUCGCGGCAUCCGAGUCCGGCGGACGAAGUUG
rnacentral:lncRNA from 1 species